UACGUAGGGGGCAAGCGUUGUUCGGAAUUAUUGGGCGUAAAGAGCGCGUAGGCGGCUUGGCAAGUCUGGUGUGAAAUCUCACAGCUCAACUGUGAAACUGCAUCAGAAACUGCCUGGCUAGAGUGCAGGAGAGGAGAGUGGAAUUCCCAGUGUAGAGGUGAAAUUCGUAGAUACUGGGAGGAACACCGGUGGCGAAGGCGGCUCUCUGGACUGCAACUGACGCUGAGGCGCGAAAGCUAGGGGAGCAAACGGGAUUAGAUACCCGCGUA
rnacentral:rRNA from 1 species